CAGGAAGGGCCCACAGACUGCUGCUCCUGGAGGCCUCUCAGGGUUUCUGGAUGUGUGUGUGUUCCAUAAACCCUCAGAGAGUCACCUGGAGACCUGCUAAAAUGCAGGUUCUUGGG
rnacentral:precursor_RNA from 8 species